rnacentral:rRNA from 1 species
UGGGGAAUAUUGGACAAUGGGCGCAAGCCUGAUCCAGCCAUGCCGCGUGAGUGAUGAAGGCCUUAGGGUUGUAAAGCUCUUUCGCCGGUGAAGAUAAUGACGGUAACCGGAGAAGAAGCCCCGGCUAACUUCGUGCCAGCAGCCGCGGUAAUACGAAGGGGGCUAGCGUUGCUCGGAAUCACUGGGCGUAAAGCGCACGUAGGCGGAUCGUUAAGUCAGGGGUGAAAUCCUGGAGCUCAACUCCAGAACUGCCCUUGAUACUGGCGAUCUCGAGUUCGAGAGAGGUUGGUGGAACUCCGAGUGUAGAGGUGAAAUUCGUAGAUAUUCGGAAGAACACCAGUGGCGAAGGCGGCCAACUGGCUCGAUACUGACGCUGAGGUGCGAAAGCGUGGGGAGCAAAACAGGAUUAGAUACCCUGGUAGUCCACGCCGUAAAACGAUGGAUGCUAGCCGUUGGGGGGUUUACCUCUCAGUGGCGCAGCUAACGCCUU